rnacentral:rRNA from 2 species
GAGUGGGUUUUACCAGAAGUGGCUAGUCUAACCGCAAGGAGGACGGUCACCACGGUAGGAUUCAUGACUGGGGUGAAGUCGUAACAAGGUAGCCGUAUCGGAAGGUGCGGCUGGAUCACCUCCUUU